GGGCUCACACAAGCGGUGGAGCAUGUGGCUUAAUUCGAGGCAACGCGAAGAACCUUAUCCUGGGUUUGACAUGUACGGAUGGCUCGCCUGAAAGGGAUGAGUCUGCCUUCGGGUGAAACGUACACAGGUGCUGCAUGGCUGUCGUCAGCUCGUGUCGUGAGAUGUAGGGUUAAGUCCUUAAACGAGCGCAACCCUUGUCCUUAGUUGCCAGCGGGUCAUGCCGGGACUCUAGGAGACCGCCGGUGUUAAACCGGAGGAAGGUGGGACGACGUCAAGUCAUCAUGGCCUUAUGCCCAGGGCUGCACACGUGCUACAAUGGCCGGUACAGAGAGCAGCCACUUCGCAAGAAGGAGCG
rnacentral:rRNA from 1 species